rnacentral:misc_RNA from 1 species
GCUCCAUUGGAAAGGUUGAAGAUAUUGCUCCAGGUUCAAAAUCCCCACAACAUAAAAUACAAUGGAACAAUUCAAGGGUUAAAAUAUAUAUGGAGAACUGAGGGUUUUCGUGGACUGUUUAAAGGCAAUGGUACCAACUGUGCUCGUAUUGUCCCAAACUCAGCAGUGAAAUUCUUCAGCUAUGAGGAGGCUUCUAAGGGAAUAUUGUGGCUGUAUCAACAGCAAACUGGCAAUGAGGAUGCUCAACUCACUCCUCUUCUACGCCUUGGAGCUGGAGCAUGUGCAGGAAUAAUUGCCAUGUCUGCAACAUAUCCCAUGGACAUGGUACGAGGCAGGCUAACUGUACAGACUGUGAAUUCACCUUAUCAAUAUAGAGGAAUGUUCCA